rnacentral:tRNA from 1 species
AUGUUGGUGGUAUAGUGGUUAACAUAGCUGCCUUCCAAGCAGUUGACCCGGGUUCGAUUGAUGGCCAAUGCA